rnacentral:rRNA from 1 species
ACGAACGCUGGCGGCGUGCUUAACACAUGCAAGUCGAACGGAAAGGCCCUGCUUUUGUGGGGUGCUCGCGUGGCGAACGGGUGAGUAACGCGUGAGUAACCUGCCCUUGACUUUGGGAUAACUUCAGGAAACUGGGGCUAAUACCGGAUAGGAGCUCCUGCUGCAUGGUGGGGGUUGGAAAGUUUCGGCGGUUGGGGAUGGACUCGCGGCUUAUCAGCUUGUUGGUGGGGUAGUGGCUUACCAAGGCUUUGACGGGUAGCCGGCCUGAGAGGGUGACCAGCCACAUUGGGACUGAGAUGAGGCCCAGACUCCUACGGGAGGCAGCAGUGGGGAAUAUUGCACAAUGGGCGGAAGCCUGAUGCAGCAACGCCGCGUGCGGGAUGACGGCCUUCGGGUUGUAAACCGCUUUCGCCUGUGACGAAGCGUGAGUGACGGUAAUGGGUAAAGAAGCACCGGCUAAGUACGUG